GAGCAAGUGAACGAUAACAUAGCUAAACGACAAAGGUAGACAGGAAGGUGAGCUUGGUCCAGACCCUUAGUAGCUGUCAACUGAUCGAGAGCACUCCAUUGUCCGGAGGUGCUUAUGGUUCUUCUUUUGGUAUAUAUGCAUAUUUUGGGCAUGACGGAGUCUUGUUCCGUCUAUAUGUUUAGUAUGUCAGUAGAGGCUCGUAGAUACGCAGUGUGGGUCAGAUGGUCUCGCAAGAUGUUAUUAUUAUGUAUAUGUUAUUUUGAUGGCCGAGAGGCAAAUGUAUAUAAGUAUUUAUGUUUUUAUAUAAAAUAUGAUUUUCCUACAA